rnacentral:rRNA from 1 species
GAUGAACGCUGGCGGCGUGCCUAAUACAUGCAAGUCGAGCGAACAGACGAGGAGCUUGCUCCUCUGACGUAAGCGGCGGACGGGUGAGUAACACGUGGAUAACCUACCUAUAAGACUGGGAUACUUCUGGAAACCGGAGCUAAUACCGGAUAAUAUAUUGAACCGCAUGGUUCAAUAGUGAAAGACGGUUUUGCUGUCACUUAUAGAUGUAUCCGCGCCGCAUUAGCUAGUUGGUAAGGUAACUGCUUACCAAGGCAACGAUGCGUAGCCGAGCUGAGAGGGUGGUCCGCCACACUGGAACUGAGACACGGUCCAGACUCCUACGGGAGGCCGCAGUAGGGAAUCUUACGCGAUGGGCGAAAGCCUGACGGAGCAACGCCGCGUGAGUGAUGAAGGUCUUCGGAUCGUAAAACUCUGUUAUUAGGAAAGAACAAAUGUGUAAGUAACUAUGCACGUCUUGACGGUACCUACUCAGAAAGCCCCGGCUAACUACGUG